GUUCAUAUUUUUUUUAAUCAACAGUAUCUUUCUGCUAAAUUGAAUAAAAUGUCGUGGAGGAACACGAAGAAAAGGAAUGCGCAUCUCAACAUAUUCAAGGUCAAGCAGCUUUUUUCCUUAUUCAUUGUAUCUUGCUGCUAAAUGAAAGAAUUAUUGUGAAGGAACAGAGAAAAGAGCACUUCAACAUGUUCAAUUUCAAGCAGAAAUUAGGAGCUAGAUGUGCUUCUCCAGAGCUGAAAACCUCUUGGCAAGAAGAGAAGAAAAACCAGGAAGAAGCAGAUUUAAAUAUUGAUUGCGUCUUCAUAGUACAAAAAAUGAUUCUUGUGAUGAUACCAUCUAUGAAAUUAGAAAACUGACGUGGCCUUCUGAUGAUUGUGAGAAAGUCUUCAAAGAACAGGACACCAAAAGUGCCACUCUCAAAUCAAAGCACUCUAAAAGGCAGAGCAUAAGAAGAACUAGGACAAAUAAAGAAUCUAAAAGAGUCAAACCUAUGGACGUAGUAAUUGAACAGAGAUCGGCUAUUAGAGAUGAAAAAUAUCUGAGUUGCUACUGUUUUGCACAAAUUUGAUGCUUUUUUAAACUUAUUUUAAUUGACACAUUCAAUAUUAGUUAAGAAAAUAUACUUAGUGUUGCAAUUUUUUGACAGUGAAAGUUUUCUAUGAUGCUUGAUUAUAGAUUAAAACUGUUAUGUUUUUUUUUUAUUGUUUAAACAUUUAUUGAUUUAUUGUGUAGUAUGCAAUCACAUACACUUUUAUCUUGAUUUAUAUAUUACAUAUAUGUACAAGUCUGACUUGAAUAUAAGUGCAUGGACAUUAUUGUGGAAAAAAAUAAGACAAUCAAGGGUAGUCUGAAAAAGUUUUGCUGGCAGUAAGUUGCAGAUCUUGAUACCCAAGUAAGAGAAAGGUGGAGUCUCUGACCGAUCCUUUUGCUGUUGCUUGUGGGCGAGUGAGGCUUCUCUGUCAGUGACUUAGUGAGUCAUAGAUGUAAAAAUAGAAUAGACAAAUGAGGUAGAGACAUUUCUGAGUAAAAAAGGGGGCAAUUGUGAUUUUAAUAAAUAUUACAAUUAUUAUUGCAAGAGUA